rnacentral:rRNA from 1 species
GACAGAGGGUGCAAACGUUGUUCGGAAUUACUGGGCGUAAAGCGCGUGUAGGCUGCUUCGCAAGUCGGAUGUGAAAGCCCUGGGACUCAACCCAGGAAGUGCAUUCGAAACUGCAGAGCUGGAGUCCUGGAGAGGAAGGCGGAAUUCUCGGUGUAGAGGUGAAAUUCGUAGAUAUCGAGAGGAACACCGGUGGCGAAGGCGGCCUUCUGGACAGUGACUGACGCUGAGACGCGAAAGCGUGGGGAGCAAACAGG